CCUGCCAUGUCACCACUGACACCCUCCCCUGCCAUGUCACCACUGGCAUCCUACCCCUGCCAUGUCACCACUGGCACCCUACCCCUGCCAUGUCACCACUGGCAUCCUACCCCUGCCAUGUCACCACUGGCACCUUACCCCUGCCAUGUCACCACUGGCACCUUACCCCUGCCAUGUCACCACUGGCACCUUACCCCUGCCACGUCACCACUGGCACCCUACCCCUGCCAUUGAAGGAUACCAGGUCAUGGAGCUGAAGGAACAAGGAAGUGUAGGGAGCGCUGAAAUCAGAUCCAUUGGCACAGGACUGGGGACUGUCAUCAUUUUGGGAUUAGAGUGAUUCACCACAUAUGCGGUUAGUUUAUCUUCAAAACAUGACACUAACAAAAUAAGUAGGUGGAGGAAUCUUGGUAUGAUGGGAUAGAUGAAGGCUCUUGUUUUUGUUAAAUCUGGGUGGGGGGGGGGGAUUACUUAGUCUCCUUCCAGUCACAGCUUUUAAUUUGGGACUGGAGUCACCAAGCCUUUCAUGCUGUGUGAAUGCACCUUAAUUUCAUACCAUGUGUUUCAUACCAGUUGCUUCCGUCCUUUUGUUUGGUUUUGAAUGGGCUAGAAAAUCACUUCAUUGCAUCAGAUGUUCAGAGCAGUGAUGGUAUCUGCAUUAACCUCACUCAGGAUUUGGUGCUUGGAGUCUACCUAAGCCAGCCCACUGUCUCAGAAAUGUUCAGUGCUGGUUACCCAUGUAAGUGUGCAAUGUGUUCAUUAAAAAUGGACUAAACACA